GAUGAAGAACGCAGCGAAAUGCGAUAAGUAGUGUGAAUUGCAGAAUUCAGUGAAUCAUCGAAUCUUUGAACGCACAUUGCGGCCAUAGGUAUUCCUUUGGCCAUGCCUGUUCGAGCGUCAUUUACACCCUCAAGCCUAGCUUGGUGUUGGGCGUCUGUCCCGCCGUUUUCGCGCGCGGACUUGCCUCAAAGUCAUUGGCGGCGGUCGUGCCGGCCCCCUCGCGCAGCACAUUUGCGCUUCUCGGAGGCCCGGCGGAUCCGCGCUCCAGCAAGACCUUUCACGACUUGACCUCGGAUCAGGUAGGGAUACCCGCUGAACUUAAGCAUAUAAUAAGCGGAGGA
rnacentral:misc_RNA from 1 species